GUGGGGAAUAUUGGACAAUGGGCGAAAGCCUGAUCCAGCCAUGCCGCGUGUGUGAAGAAGGUCUUCGGAUUGUAAAGCACUUUAAGUUGGGAGGAAGGGCAGUAAGUUAAUACCUUGCUGUUUUGACGUUACCGACAGAAUAAGCACCGGCUAACUUCGUGCCAGCAGCCGCGGUAAUACGAAGGGUGCAAGCGUUAAUCGGAAUUACUGGGCGUAAAGCGCGCGUAGGUGGUUUUGUAAGUUGGAGGUGAAAUCCCCGGGCUCAACCUGGGAACUGCCUCCAAAACUGCAUGACUAGAGUACGGUAGAGGGUAGUGGAAUUUCCUGUGUAGCAGUGAAAUGCGUAGAUAUAGGAAGGAACACCAGUGGCGAAGGCGACUACCUGGACUGAUACUGACACUGAGGUGCGAAAGCGUGGGGAGCAAACAGGAUUAGAUACCCUUGUAGUCC
rnacentral:rRNA from 1 species